AUGGUAAAUUCUCAUAUCAUUUAUUUUAUUUCAUUAUUGCACUCUACAUUACAUACUAUGCACGAGCACUUUGGUAGAGGUGACGAGUUCGCAUCAUACAGAGAGACCAACCAUGUUUCUCCGAAUAUCUUGAAUCAUGAUCCUUAUGACUUCGUCUCUACUUCUAUACUACUUAUAAAAGAGCAAGCAUUAUCUUCUCUAAGUGCACCCCACAAAACGUACACGGAUACAUUACCACCGCAUUUUUUUUGUCUUGUUUCACAGCUGAUUCUAUGCAGUCAAGACAUCUCUACACUUCUCUAUCUAAUAAUGGCUUCCUCUUUUCAACAAACCAUAGAGGUCUCUUCCUACUAUUGUGGUUGA
rnacentral:rRNA from 1 species